CCAACUCCAGGAUCGCAAGUUAGAUUCAUUGGUACGCUUCUUUCAAGUUCAGCACUAUCCUGGUUUUUAUCUUUUCUUGAACAACGAGAUCCAAUAUUGGAUAAUCUAGAGGCUUUUCUGGCAGAGUUUUGAUCCAUGUAUGGAGAACAUGAUGCAAUUCAUGUUGCAACCAAUAAGAUCCAUAUUUUACGACAAGGCAAUCGAUCGGUAACGUUGUACGCUUCACAAUUUUGACAACUUGCAACUGAUAUCAAGUAAGAUGAUGCUGCACUUAUUAGCCAAUUUCUCUAU
rnacentral:lncRNA from 1 species